UUCCGGGGCGUCUGCCCGCAAGGCACCGCCAGCCCCUUGUUAAGGUCUGAACCGCUCCGGCUGUCUCGGGUUUGUGGAGUCUAUGUUGUGUGCCGUGCCUCCUGCUAGGAGCUGUCACGCGUUUUGCCGCGUUUGCUCCUCAGCAGCCUGCUGAGUCAGGUGCCAUCGCCCUGAGAGCCCUCGUGUGUCUUGGGCAGGUCUGUGCAGAGGACGCCGUCUCCGACCAUGGCUUCGAGUUGGGCUGCCGUUACCUCGCUAAGUGACCUCCAGAAGGCAAGCUGACUUCCUGGGUCUGGGUGUCCCUGUGCGGGAUUGGACCCCGGGACUUUCUUGGGUCCGCAUCCAGACCCCUUUACUGCCCGGCUUCUGGGUGUGCUGGGGGCCAACAGCUCACAGCCACCCCCUUCUCUGAAUAGUUAAUUGUCCUUGGCUGAUGGGAACUGCUGCGCCCUGGAAGUUAUCACUCCCCAAACACCUGGAGCUCAUGAUUGACUGGGGUUGCAGUGUAAAGGCCCAGCUCCUUUGCCUCCAAGAGAGUUGACUCGUGCUGUUCGUGCUCCGAGCUCCUCUGGAAUGAAGUUGAAGGAGUGAGAAUCCCCAGAAUAAUGAGAGGACAACCAGCAGAGGAAGGAAGUCCCUGGGAGGCCUGGCCCUGUGCACAGCUGACAGGAGCGUGGCCUCCUCAGGAACCUCCAAGGGUUUGGCUUCGGGACAGUGCAGGGCUGUACCCACACUGAGACGAGCUCGGUUUCCUCAGGACCGGCUGGGAGGUGCCUCCACGGGAGAAGAAGAAACCUGUAUGGGACAUUUUAUGGCAGCUUUAUUCAUAACAGCCAAAACUUGGAAGCAACCAAGACGUCCUUCAGGAGGUGAAUGGACACACAGACUGGUCUCCGUCCAUGCAGCAGAAUGUUCUUCAGCACUGAAAAGAUAUGAGAGAGAUAUGGAGCCAUGGGGAAACGGGAGGGGCACCUCAAGUGCAUAUCACUCACCAAAAGAAGCCAAUCUGGGGCUUCCCUGGUGGCGCAGUGGUUGAGAAUCUGCCUGCCAAUGCAGGGGACACGGGUUCAAGCCCUGGUCUGGGAAGAUCCCACAUGCCGCGGAGCGACUAGGCCCGUGAGCCACAACUACUGAGCCUGCGCGUCUGGAGCCUGUGCUCCGCAGCAAGAGAGGCCGCGACAGUGAGAGGCCUGCGCACCGUGAUGAAGAGUGGCCCCCACUUGCCACAACUAGAGAAAGCCCUCGCACAGAAACGAAGACCCAACACAGCCAUAAAUAAAUAAAUAAAUAAAUAAAUAAAUAAAUAAAUAAAUAAAAAUUAAAAAAAAAAAAGCCAAUCUGGAAAGGUGGCAUAGCUUAGGGUACCAACCACAUAUGACAUUCAGGAAAAGGCAAACCAAAGAAAGGGUGGGUUGCCAAGGGUUUGUGGCAGGGUUGAGGGGUGGGGCAUGAUAAACAGGUUGAGCACAGAGGAUUUUUUUCUUUUUUUUUGGUAUCUUUUUAAUAACUUUAUUGAGGUAAAAUUCACAUACCAUACAAUUCACCCAUUUAAAGUAUACAAUUCAGUGGCUUUUAGUAUAGUCACAGAAUUGUGCAUCUAUCACCACUAUCAAUUUUCGAACCUUUUUAUUACCCCCAAAAGAAACUUUGUACUUUCAGUCUCUACUUCUCAGUACUCUCAAAUCCCCCAGCUCUAGGCAACAACUAAUUUUCUAUUUUCUGUCUCUGUAGAGUUGCCUAUUGUGGACAUUUCAUAAAAAUGGAAUUAUACAACGUGUGGUCUUUUGUGACUGGCUUCUUUCAUUUAGCAUAAUGUUUUCAAGGUUCAUCCAUGUUGUACCAUGUGUGAGUACUUCAUUCCUUUUUAUGGCUUAAUAAUAUUCCACUAUAUGGAUAUACUACGUUUAUUCAUUUAUGAGUCGAACAUUUGGGUUAUUUCGACUUUUUAACUAUUAUGUAUGAUACUGCUAUGAACAUUCAUGUACAAGUUUUUGUGUGCAUAUACGUUUUUAUUUCUCUUGAGUAUGCAUACCUAGGAAUGAAAUUAAUGGGUAUGUAUACCCAGUAUAUAUGUUACUGGGUCAUAUGGUAACUGCAUGUUUAAUCAUUUGA